GAUCACCGAAGUCAAGCAUCAUUGGGCGCGGUCAGUACUUGGGUGGGUGACCACCUGGGAACCGCGUGCCGUUG